rnacentral:rRNA from 1 species
UUCCGGAGCUAACGCGUUAAGUCGACCGCCUGGGGAGUACGGCCGCAAGGUUAAAACUCAAAUGAAUUGACGGGGGCCCGCACAAGCGGUGGAGCAUGUGGUUUAAUUCGAUGCAACGCGAAGAACCUUACCUGGCCUUGACAUCCAGAGAACUUAGCAGAGAUGCUUUGGUGCCUUCGGGAACUCUGAGACAGGUGCUGCAUGGCUGUCGUCAGCUCGUGUUGUGAAAUGUUGGGUUAAGUCCCGCAACGAGCGCAACCCUUAUCCUUUGUUGCCAGCGGGUCGGGCGGGAAAUCAAAGGA